UCCCGCCCAAACUAAAAUUAGUUUUCCCCCAAAUUCCCUCUCUUUCCAGCCCUAGCCCACAAAAUCCCCCAUCCACUUGAAGGCAUGAAGCCCCUCGUCUCUGGUCUUUGUACGCGCCACCACCACCAGCAACGCAACCAACACGAACUAAGUAUCCCUUCUAUCUCUAAUAGUUUUAUGACAUGAUCCUGAAUCGGAAGUUAACAACCAGAGAGCAGUGCUUGUAGAAGAAAAUGAAGGGCCACGACAUGAGAGGAUUAUGUGGAACAACUAGCGGAGAAGAUUGAAGACUGAAAGCUUAACAGGUACAGAGUAAAAAAGUUUCUUCGUGUUAUUAUCUUAUGUUCUAUUCUUCAAGCGCUUGUGAAUAAGAAAGCAAAUGACCUUAUAAAUGGGAUUAUGCACACAAGAGAGAUUACGGAUAAUGAUAUAUAGAUUUUGUUGAAGACGUUGAUGUUGAAUAUUUUUUUUCAAGAGUUAGGUAUUCCAUUAGAUUAGCUUUAUAAAUAAAUUUUGGAAUUGUAUGUAGUUUAAUUAUGAAAUUUAAUAUAGUUUGUUAUACAUUUAGCAAA